rnacentral:rRNA from 1 species
UAACGCGUAUCCAACCUGCCUUACACUCUUGGACAGCCUUCUGAAAGGGAGAUUAAUACAAGAUGUUAUCAUGAGUAAGCAUUUUCGCAUGAUUAAAGGUUUACCGGUGUAAGAUGGGGAUGCGUUCCAUUAGAUAGUAGGCGGGGUAACGGCCCACCUAGUCUUCGAUGGAUAGGGGUUCUGAGAGGAAGGUCCCCCACAUUGGAACUGAGACAUGGUCCAAACUCCUACGGGAGGCAGCAGUGAGGAAUAUUGGUCAAUGGACGAGAGUCUGAACCAGCCAAGUAGCGUGAAGGAUGAAGGUUCUAUGGAUUGUAAACUUCUUUUAUACGGGAAUAAACGGAUCCACGCGUGGAUUUUUGCAUGUACCGUAUGAAUAAGGAUCGGCUAACUCCGUGCCAGCAGCCGCGGUAAUACGGAGGAUCCGAGCGUUAUCCGGAUUUAUUGGGUUUAAAGGGAGCGUAGAUGGGUUGUUAAGUCAGUUGUGAAAGUUUGCGGCUCAACCGUAAAAUUGCAAUUGAUACUGGCAGUCUUGAGUACAGUUGAGGUAGGCGGCAUUCGUGGUGUAGCGGUGAAAUGCUUAGAUAUCACGAAGAACUCCGAUUGCGAAGGCAGCUUACUAACCUGUAACUGACAUUGAUGCUCGAAAGUGUGGGUAUCAAACAGGAUUAGAUACCCUGGUAGUCCACACGGUAAACGAUGAAUACUCGCUGU